ACGCUAUUUGUUUGUUUGUUUGUUUGUUUGUUUAUUCGUUUGUUUGUUUCGCGCGCACCGAACUAGCUAAAUUGUAAAAAAGCAAUCGAAAAGGAGUAGAGGGGAAACGCAUUCCCGUUGGAACAUACGAUCGAAUCGAAGAAUUUCGAAUGGAAAUUUCGAGAGAUGGCUUGGAACGAAGACAUGUGCGGAGGAAUUGUGGAAGGAAGGAGAGUGGAAGGAGAGAUAGAUGGAUGGCUGUCUCGUGUCCGUUGGCGCAUCUGCAUUCGACGUGGGCGCGGCGCAGGGAAGAGGGAAAUGGCAAAGGUGAGGCCGUGCAAGGAAAGGAACGGAGAAGAGAUUAGAUUAUAAAGGGGGUAUCGAAAGGUUUCUCUGGCUUGGAGAAUGGUGGAGAAAGGAAAGAGGAGGAAAUGUAACCCUGGUGGAGUGGAGGUGUUGUUUCUUGUCACUCUCUCUGUUCAGUGGCGCCCUCGGAUAUCACCACGUGUAUUUGCUGUACGAAUAUUUUUAUUUACUUAUUUAUUUACUUAUUUACUUAUUUUGGAAUUUUUGCUUCAGUGUUUUUGAAAUUUUGGCGAAGAAUAUUCAUCGAACGAAUUAAUUUUGUUUACGUGUGCUGUAUUUCCAACGAGCCGUUGCGUCCAUUUGAUUUUCAUUUUUUUUUUUAGUAGUCGUGGGUUAAAAAAUUCUUAUGUAAUUAGUGAACGUACGAUAUUUUUUUAAGGAUGUGUAUAAACAAGUUAAACAUUAAAGUUUUUUCAAGCGGAUAAUGAAGUAAUUUUCUUUGCAAAUAAGAUUUGAUUGGGAAAUUUUCACGCGGGUAAAGGAAUUAGGAAUAAUAAAUGAUUCGACAAAAUUCCAUUGAAAUCUCUCCGAUGCAAUGUGGAAAUUGCACCAUGCUGUGACACUCGGCCCGCUCGACCGUGCCUUCGUGCUCUGAUAAAUUUCAACAGCGAUGAAAAUUAAUUACGGAAUUUCUGGAAUCGGCACUUGCGAGAUAAUCGAGAACACGAUUAUCUCCGUUCGAUCGUGUAAAGCGAAAGAAUUAACAUUCCAAGACUACUAUUAUUUAAUCACGAACGAUACGAAGAUCUCGAAUGCAAAUCUAUGUGUAUGUAUUAUUUUCAUCCGUUAUGACUCUAAGAUCUUUCAAAAUAUUUUACAACUGCAUGCAGAGGCAUUAGAGACAUUAAGAGAAUUAUGAUAAUUAUUACAAACAAACAAAUCAUCGGUAUUUAGUAUAAUGAGAAACUAAUAAGAUGCAAUAAUCGUAGUGAGUAGUAAAUCGAUUUUAAAAUAUAGAUAAAUAAAAUGAAAAUGUCAAACAAACUCUUACGAACUUAGAAAUUAAUAUCUAAUAACCGAUGGAUAAACAGCAAACUUAAUAAAUAACAAAAUAUUUAAAAUACUGUGCAAAGAAAUUAUUAAAUUAUUUUUUAAAAAAUAAUUUCUCUCGUUCUCCGUCAAAGACAUGUGUACAUAAUUCAGCAAUCGCAUAAAAUUACAGAGAAUUAAGUUGCUUUUAAAAAUUUUCUUCGUGAGCGAUUAUAUUAUGCUACGAGUCGAGGCAACGCGUAAAUAUAAACUUUGUCCCAGCGUAUGACCCACUACGAUUCCUGGAAAGAGAUUAACGACUCCGUAGGCAUUGUCCGGAUCGAUCGCAUCGUUCUGUUUCUCCGAACCGCGUAAUUCCUCGUAAUGGUACUCUCCCAUAGAGCAAAAGAAACGUUAUUUUCCUCGUUCCGCUCGUUAUUCCGAGUACCGGGUCCCUUUCGACAAAUAUUUCAUCCUCCAAUGAAAAUGGUGCACGUAUUGUACGUUUCUUUUACUGAAUCAGCAUGCCUGAUAUGAUCACGUUAUAUUUAUCGUAUUAAUUAUCUUGGAACGCUUAAUCGUCUCGAUAAUUGUUCAUAUCCGA